rnacentral:lncRNA from 1 species
UUUUUUUUUUUUUUUCUUUAAGACCUAUCAGAUUUCUUCUUUCAGACAUAGUUACAUUUACCUCUAUUUGUAAAGACUGCUCUCCUGGUUCUUCUCUUCCUGUCUGGCAUCUAGCUUUUUUCUCCUCUGUUUACAUUUCAUGGUGUGUGGUCCUCAGCUGCCUCCAGCUUCAUUCACAUUUUAGCUGUAUCUGUGGCUGCUAUUUUCUCUAAGUCAUAUUCACUGUGUUUUAUCAAAAAAUCAGACACAAAGAAUUUAUGCAUUCAUUAGCAAAGCUAGUUUCUUAUAAUAUGACUGUAAAUUCUUAAGUGCUUUUAAAAUAAAUGUUCUAUCUCAUCUGGUACUCCUAACAUUUGUGUUGCCGUGGUAAUUUAUUUUCUGGAUGUGUUUAUUACAGUGUUAUCACAUAUUUUGUAAAAGGUCCUUUACUUUUAAUGUUUUUAAAAAUUAUUUAAAAAUAAAAUCGUUUUUCGUUCUCAAAACACAACUGAUUUUCUAAUGUAAGACAUUAAUUCAGAUCAACAAGGUAUAUGAUGGAUAACACUGUUAUCAUUGCAUUAUUCAUGCUUUCAACAAAUAUUUACUCAGCUUUUACUGUGUGCGAGGCACUAUUGGAGAAAGCAAAACAGAAAUCCAGAAACUUUAAGUAGCCAAUUGUUAUGUUAGUUUCCUUUAGUUGUAUGAAACAAAGGUUCUCUCGGUGCAGCGUCUUUAAAAAAGGAAGAUUUAUUGUUGUGCUCUGUGUGGUGUAGAACUAGCGUGCCAGAAAAUCUGAAGCCACUUAGUGGCUGGUUCCUCUCUCGGUAGUAGUGACUGCUCUGAGUGCCUGUUGUGUCUUCCUUUUGCUAACUAAAGGCAUUCUGUUCACACUUCUUUAGUUUAAAUCCUACAGAAGUCUGUCUGAUUUUUUUUCAGAAUUAAUUCUAUUGAGCUGUAGUUUGCAUACAAUAAAAUACAACUAUUUUAAGUUUGAUGACUUUGGCAAAUUUAGGUACCCAUGUAACCAUCACCAUUAAAGAUACAGAACAUUUCCAUCACCCCAGAGAGUUUCCUUUUGCCCCUUUGCAUUCACCCCCACUCCCUGCCCCCAGCCAGCCUCAGCUCCAAG